CUUUUCUCUCCAAAGACCCUAACUCUCUCAGUCUCUCUCUUGGGUCUUGCUUUCACCGCUCUCAGAACGGCUUGCUUUCCGCCUUACCAAUCACCAUAGUUGCCACUGCUGAAUAGUGGAUCGAGAGGUUUAUGACAGCGUUGACAUGGCUUGGUAUUGAGUGGCUUUGAGGUGUUCCAUUGCUGAGUAGAAAUAAAUUGAUUUGAGGCUAAUUGUAGCGUCAUAGAGGUUGGGUCACACACUGUAUUGUCAAAUGUUGUGUUGGUUGGAUUUGAAUUUGUAGUUUUGGGUUGUAAGACACAUGUACAUAAGAUAUGUGAAAAACGAGAGUGGUUAUCUGUAUCUGUAUAUAUUAAGAGGAUUCAGAAAGUUAGUUAUUGCU